rnacentral:lncRNA from 1 species
UUCCAAUUGAAUACAACUUCUCAAAAAAUUGGACUCAUCGUUUCGUUUAUUUGAUCUUUUAAUUUUUGUAGAUUCUUUAGAAGCUUCUUUUUACCAAGUAGUUUUUCUGAUGUGCUGCUUUUUUAUUGUGUUAUUGUGUUAAAUGGUGCCUAUUUGUAACCAGGUAGGCCUAUGCACAAAGAAAAAUUCCUGCAAAAUAAAGAAAAGUAUCCCAAAAUAAUCCCCUCAUAACUGCUCAAAUAAGCGUCUUCAUUUUUAAACUGUAGUGAAUCCAGCAGAAGUUCAGAGAGUUUCAAUCCCGUCUGUGAUUGAAGUUAAAUUAGAGGAAACUUUAGUCCAACUUCAAGACUUGAACCCACAUCUGAGAGGAUCAAACCAGAUGAUGAUGGAAAACUGACCAUUUUUAUUCGUUCUUUUUUAUUGAUUUCUAAAAGCUGGAGAUGUCCAGAGGAUCCAGCAAACUGCGGCUCGUUCUCUGCGGUCACCUGUUGUCUGUCUCCUCCGUGACGGCAUCCACGAGGGGGCGUGGCUGCCAGAUCUAAACGGGAAGCGGGUCACUGCGGGGAACGUAAACAGUCCUCACGCUGCGUUGCAGGAUGAAGCGUUUCCCGGUGGGAGCGUGACGGAUUCGGGGGCGGUAUCUACAGUAACGGGUGCAGGUGAGUGACAGAAUCCGACAGGUGUGCGGAAAUUUAUUUAUUUGUUUAUUUAUUAUUUUUUUUUUCGACAACUCUUAAAUUUAAGGUCAAUGUCCUGAUACACAUGGGGGGAAGGGGGGGGGGGGGGAUCAGUAACAGAUGAUCCAAUAGGAAGUUCAUAAAAUGUAAGCGAAAAGGCUCCUAAACAAGACAAUGUACACAAGUACGGAGGGGCAGAAGGACCAAAAAGGGUUGGAUUUGACAUGGACUGCACUAAAACCGAAUAAAGCCAAUAUGUGGUUAUUUCUUGGACUUUAGGUUUGAUUUUUUAAAAUGACCACCGAUUAUUAUAAAAUGACAACUCAAACUUUGAUUUUAUCCUAAAAUAAUAGCAAAAUAUUAUUUUAUUUUGGUAACAUUUUUUUAAAUGCAGGCCUUUUUUUUACCAUGAUGCUUAAGUGUGUCAUUUGAUCAAUGUAAUCCUUUUGCCAUAUGUGC